rnacentral:rRNA from 1 species
AGAGAAUAGAUACCCAGGUAGUCCCAGCCGUAAACGAUGCUCGCUAGGUGUCAGGCAUGGCGCGACCGUGUCUGGUGCCGCAGGGAAGCCGUGAAGCGAGCCACCUGGGAAGUACGGCCGCAAGGCUGAAACUUAAAGGAAUUGGCGGGGGAGCACAACAACGGGUGGAGCCUGCGGUUUAAUUGGACUCAACGCCGGACAACUCACCGGGGGGUCGACAGCAAUAUGUAGGCCAAGCUGAAGACUUUGCCUGAAUCGCUGAGAGGAGGUGCAUGGCCGUCGCCAGUUCGUACUGUGAAGCAUCCUGUUAAAGUCAGGCAACGAGCGAGACCCGUGCCCACUGUUACCAGCAUGUCCUCCGGGACGAUGGUACUCUGUGGGGACCGCCUAUGUUAAACUAGGAGGAAGGUGCGGGCCGACGGUAGGUCAGUAUG